CCUACGGGCGGCUGCAGUGGGGAAUCUUGCGCAAUGGGCGAAAGCCUGACGCAGCGACGCCGCGUGAGCGAUGAAGGCCUUCGGGUUGUAAAGCUCUGUGGGGAGAGAAGAAUAAGGGUUGGCUAACAUCCAACCUGAUGACGGUAUCUCCUUAGCAAGCACCGGCUAACUCUGUGCCAGCAGCCGCGGUAAGACAGAGGGUGAAAACGUUGUUCGGAAUCACUUGGAGUAAAGCGGGUGUAGGCGGCGUGACAUCCCACGGCUCAACCAUGGAAGUGCAUUCGAAACUGCCAGACUAGAGUCCUGGAGAGGAAGGCGGAAUACUCGGUGUAGAGGUGAAAUUCGUAGAUAUCGAGUGGAACACCGGUGGCGAAGGCGGCCUUCUGGACAGUGACUGACGCUGAAACGCGAAAGCGUGGGGAGCAAACAGGAUUAGAUACCCCAGUAGUC
rnacentral:rRNA from 1 species